rnacentral:rRNA from 1 species
AAGAGCUUGCUCUUAUGAAGUUAGCGGCGGACGGGUGAGUAACACGUGGGUAACCUGCCCAUAAGACUGGGAUAACUCCGGGAAACCGGGGCUAAUACCGGAUAACAUUUUGAACCGCAUGGUUCGAAAUUGAAAGGCGGCUUCGGCUGUCACUUAUGGAUGGACCCGCGUCGCAUUAGCUAGUUGGUGAGGUAACGGCUCACCAAGGCAACGAUGCGUAGCCGACCUGAGAGGGUGAUCGGCCACACUGGGACUGAGACACGGCCCAGACUCCUACGGGAGGCAGCAGUAGGGAAUCUUCCGCAAUGGACGAAAGUCUGACGGAGCAACGCCGCGUGAGUGAUGAAGGCUUUCGGGUCGUAAAACUCUGUUGUUAGGGAAGAACAAGUGCUAGUUGAAUAAGCUGGCACCUUGACGGUACCUAACCAGAAAGCCACGGCUAACUACGUGCCAGCAGCCGCGGUAAUACGUAGGUGGCAAGCGUUAUCCGGAAUUAUUGGGCGUAAAGCGCGCGCAGGUGGUUUCUUAAGUCUGAUGUGAAAGCCCACGGCUCAACCGUGGAGGGUCAUUGGAAACUGGGAGACUUGAGUGCAGAAGAGGAAAGUGGAAUUCCAUGUGUAGCGGUGAAAUGCGUAGAGAUAUGGAGGAACACCAGUGGCGAAGGCGACUUUCUGGUCUGUAACUGACACUGAGGCGCGAAAGCGUG